AAGCGUAAUAGCUCACUGGUCGAGUCGGCCUGCGCGGAAGAUGUAACGGGGCUAAACCAUGCACCGAAGCUGCGGCAGCGAACGUAUCACUUAAAGCGAUUCAGCGGGUUACGAUUGACGGAGCGAAGCGACGUCAAAGCGUAUACAAAGUCGAGUCGGUUUAAGGAUACGUUGUUGGGUAGGGGAGCGUUCUGUAAGCCUGUGAAGGUGGCCUGUGAGGGUUGCUGGAGGUAUCAGAAGUGCGAAUGCUGACAUAAGUAACGAUAAAGCGGGUGAAAAGCCCGCUCGCCGGAAGACCAAGGGUUCCUGUCCAACGUUAAUCGGGGCAGGGUGAGUCGACCCCUAAGGCGAGGCCGAAAGGCGUAGUCGAUGGGAAACGGGUUAAUAUUCCCGUACUUGGUGUUACUGCGAAGGGGGGACGGAGAAGGCUAUGUUGGCCGGGCGACGGUUGUCCCGGUUUAAGCGUGUAGGUGUGUGUUCCAGGUAAAUCCGGUUCACUUUAACACUGAGGCGUGAUGACGAGGCACUACGGUGCUGAAGCAACAAAUGCCCUGCUUCCAGGAAAAGCCUCUAAGCAUCAGGUAACAUCAAAUCGUACCCCAAACCGACACAGGUGGUCAGGUAGAGAAUACCAAGGCGCUUGAGAGAACUCGGGUGAAGGAACUAGGCAAAAUGGUGCCGUAACUUCGGGAGAAGGCACGCUGACACGUAGGUGAAGUGAUUUACUCAUGGAGCUGAAGUCAGUCGAAGAUACCAGCUGGCUGCAACUGUUUAUUAAAAACACAGCACUGUGCAAACACGAAAGUGGACGUAUACGGUGUGACGCCUGCCCGGUGCCGGAAGGUUAAUUGAUGGGGUCAGCGCAAGCGAAGCUCCUGAUCGAAGCCCCGGUAAACGGCGGCCGUAACUAUAACGGUCCUAAGGUAGCGAAAUUCCUUGUCGGGUAAGUUCCGACCUGCACGAAUGGCGUAAUGAUGGCCAGGCUGUCUCCACCCGAGACUCAGUGAAAUUGAACUCGCUGUGAAGAUGCAGUGUACCCGCGGCAAGACGGAAAGACCCCGUGAACCUUUACUAUAGCUUGACACUGAACAUUGAGCCUUGAUGUGUAGGAUAGGUGGGAGGCUUUGAAGCGUGGACGCCAGUCUGCGUGGAGCCGACCUUGAAAUACCACCCUUUAAUGUUUGAUGUUCUAACGUGGACCCGUAAUCCGGGUUGCGGACAGUGUCUGGUGGGUAGUUUGACUGGGGCGGUCUCCUCCUAAAGAGUAACGGAGGAGCACGAAGGUUGGCUAAUCCUGGUCGGACAUCAGGAGGUUAGUGCAAUGGCAUAAGCCAGCUUGACUGCGAGCGUGACGGCGCGAGCAGGUGCGAAAGCAGGUCAUAGUGAUCCGGUGGUUCUGAAUGGAAGGGCCAUCGCUCAACGGAUAAAAGGUACUCCGGGGAUAACAGGCUGAUACCGCCCAAGAGUUCAUAUCGACGGCGGUGUUUGGCACCUCGAUGUCGGCUCAUCACAUCCUGGGGCUGAAGUAGGUCCCAAGGGUAUGGCUGUUCGCCAUUUAAAGUGGUACGCGAGCUGGGUUUAGAACGUCGUGAGACAGUUCGGUCCCUAUCUGCCGUGGGCGCUGGAGAACUGAGGGGGGCUGCUCCUAGUACGAGAGGACCGGAGUGGACGCAUCACUGGUGUUCGGGUUGUCAUGCCAAUGGCACUGCCCGGUAGCUAAAUGCGGAAGAGAUAAGUGCUGAAAGCAUCUAAGCACGAAACUUGCCCCGAGAUGAGUUCUCCCUGAGACUUAGAGUCUCCUGAAGGAACGUUGAAGACGACGACGUUGAUAGGCCGGGUGUGUAAGCGCAGCGAUGCGUUGAGCUAACCGGUACUAAUGAACCGUGAGGCUUAACCUUACAACGCCGAAGCUGUU
rnacentral:rRNA from 1 species